rnacentral:rRNA from 1 species
GACGGGGGGUCCAAGCGUUGUUCGGAAUCAUUGGGCGUAAGCGGGCGUAGGUGGUCUUGCAAGUCAGGAGUGAAAGCCCUGGGCUCAACCCAGGAAGUGCUUUUGAAACUGCAAGACUUGAAUGUGGGAGAGGGUAGUAGAAUUCCUGGUGUAGUGGUGAAAUACGUAGAUAUCAGGAGGAAUACCGGUGGCGAAGGCGGCUACCUGGCCCAACAUUGACACUGAGGCCCAAAAGCGUGGGGAUCAAACAGG